rnacentral:piRNA from 1 species
UGCCUUGAAAGCACACCAAACGAAGGAAAGCA